AACGCGAAGAACCUUACCAACCCUUGACAUCGCAGGACCGCCCCGGAGACGGGGUUUUCUCGUAAGAGACCUGUGGACAGGUGCUGCAUGGCUGUCGUCAGCUCGUGUCGUGAGAUGUUCGGUUAAGUCCGGCAACGAGCGCAACCCACACCCUUAGUUGCCAGCAUUCAGUUGGGCACUCUAAGGGAACUGCCCGUGAUAAGCGGGAGGAAGGUGUGGAUGACGUCAAGUCCUCAUGGCCCUUACGGGUUGGGCUACACACGUGCUACAAUGGUGGUGACAAUGGGUUAAUCCCCAAAAGCCAUCUCAGUUCGGAUUGUCGUCUGCAACUCGACGGCAUGAAGUCGGAAUCGCUAGUAAUCGCGUAACAGCAUGACGCGGUGAACACGUUCCCGGGUCUUGUACACACCG
rnacentral:rRNA from 1 species